AAUCUGCUGACGAUCGUUCGACCGCCCUCUCUGUGCAGAGUGCUGAACGUCGCGCCGCCGCCGUCCCGGUGCCGCUGCCCGCUCUGCAGUCGCAGUGAGCAGCUGGCUGCGGCUGACCGGAAUCGGCAGAUAGUUAUCGAUAGUCUUUUCGACCGUCAGGCGUCAGAGCCGGUCGAGCACCGAGCGGAGCGGAGCGUCCGAGGCCGAAGGCCCAAAGGCCAAACGCAACAAGUUGCGGUCAACGGGCAUUGGAGGUGACACGAACGGCCUAACCGACUUAGACGAGGUGGCGCUGAGCUUGGACGACGGCACUUACGACUAUGUGGUACCGGGCGCGCUCUGCAGUCUCUCGGCCAGGACCCGAAACCAGCUGAGGGCGGCAGCGGAGCUCUGACACCGGAGACGUGGGCGGAGGCCAAAGAUAAUGUGAUCUUCGUAGAAGAAGAGACAUCCCAGCCUCUCUCGCAGUUACCCACCUCCAUCCUCUCCCAGCCCUCUACCUCUGAGCUCUCCUCCCAGCCCUCCCAGCCCACCGCCUCCCAGCCCUCCCAGACGGCCGCCUCCCACCCCUCCCAGCCCACCGACUCCCACCCCUCCCAGACGGCCGCCUCCCUCCCAUCCCAGCCCCAGACGGCCGCCUCCCUCCCCUCCCAGCCAGCCCAGCUCAUCCGGGCGGAACGCGGAGCCGCCCGCGACGCGACUGUCCCUCCCCGCACACUGGCGGCAUUUAUUGCCGAGCGGAGGGGAGUGAGCCAGCGCCGUAGACUUCUCUUAUCUGCCCCGCUCGAGUGCCUCCGAACCGAGGAACUGACCGAAGUCGCAGAAUAUUAUCGGGCUCUAACAUAUAGAAACAUGUCGAUGCAGUGAGAGCACUGACGAUAUUAUUUCAUGCAAAAUGCAAAGAGUAGUAGUAGUACAGCACUAUAUCAGAUUGUGCUCAUGUUGCUCAAAAAGCGUUGUUCUUGUAUGUUCUCUGCCGACUGUUUGUUGUGGUGAUAUUGGACGCUGGAAUGCACAAAACGUGGGGGACAAUGCAUUCAUCUGCUUGCCA